UACGUGAGGGUGCAAGCGUUGUCCGGAAUUAUUGGGCGUAAAGAGCUCGUAGGCGGUUCGUCGCGUCGGCUGUGAAAACCUGAGGCUCAACCUCAGGCCUGCAGUCGAUACGGGCGGACUUGAGUACUGCAGGGGAGACUGGAAAUUCCUGGUGUAGCGGUGAAAAUGCGCAGAUAUCAGGAGGAACACCGGUGGCGAAGGCGGGUCUCUGGGCAGUAACUGACGCUGAGGAGCGAAAGCGUGGGGGAGCGAACAGG
rnacentral:rRNA from 1 species